rnacentral:lncRNA from 1 species
AAAAGAAAAUAGCAACCACCUGAAAGAUGACCAUAACAAGCCCAAGCCACGUAGCGAGUAGGAAGUGGAAAGUUUGCCUCUCAUCUGUGGUGCAUACCACAAGGAUGGUUGCUGUUUCAUUAGAGCCAAAAGAAAGACCAACCAAAUCCUUCCGAGAUUUCACGGCGACCACUACUGCAGGGAGAUCGCUUGGUGGGUUCGGUGAUAAUGCAUCUGCAGAACUGACCCUUCAGAGCAGUGUGGGAAACUGUCAUACAAGUGUAAAGAGGACCACCCACCUACCACUGGGCCCUUUGAGUAUGGUCAACCCCAUGAGGUGUAAAUGUAAGACCACAGGAGAAAAUAGGCUUCUAUGUCAGAUUACAUAUUCCUUCUCAGCUCCAGCAGGAAAAAAAUCUCAGCAAUUUUGCCCCAACACCAGAGAACUGGCAGGGAGAGAGACUUCCACAGCACCAGUAGAAGGAGCCAAGGAAUUAGGAUAAGAGCAUGGAAGUGGUGAGGCAAUGAAGAUGGAUGGGAAAACACAACAUGGCUUUCAGGCUUCUUAGUAGAGCAGUGAGAACAAACAACGGAGGAGACAGGAGCUGUAAGGCCUGGAAGCACAACUGAGGCACAUAAUAUGACUACAGGCUGUAAGUUGUAGAUCAAAGAAAGUAUAGUAGAUGGUUCGUGUCAAACCUUACUACUUUUGUUCAAAAUAAAAAUCAGUGUACCUUUAUUUUUCUCUAAAUGUAAAGGUAAUAGAUACUAUGGUUAAAAACUUAAGCAACGUGGAGCAGUUUAAAGAAAACAAUUAACCCUGCCACCUCCAAAAAACAAAGUCACCCCAAACUUAAGUGCCUAGAGAUGGUCACUGUGAACAUGUCAAUGAACAUACUUCCAACGUCUCUCUAGGCAUGUAUACAAAAGCAUUUUAAAAAAGUGAUUACCCUAUGCAUGCUCUUUUAUAACCUGAUCUUUCCCUCAAUAAUAUAUUAUGGACAUUUUUUCUAUAUCAGUAAAUAUCAAUCAUUUUAAGUAGAUAUUAUUCCAUUUAAGAACAUACCAUAAUUUAUUUCACUAAUCUGUUAAAGAAUAUUUAGGAUGUUUCCUGUUCCCGACUUUCCUCUAUUAUAAACAAAGUAUGAAACAUAUCUUUACACAAAUCUUUAUGCACCUAAUUCAUUCUUUGGGAUAAAUCUUAGAAUUGAAACUGCUGGGUCAAAGUGUA